rnacentral:misc_RNA from 1 species
UUGACUUGGAAGCUUGCUUCUAAUAUUUUGUGCACUGUUACUGCGAUUUGGCGGCUUUUAGCUGUCAAAUUGCGCCAUUUUUUACGUACCUUUAACCUAUAACCAUAACUUACCCAUUUUUA